rnacentral:rRNA from 1 species
UGGGGAAUAUUGCACAAUGGGCGCAAGCCUGAUGCAGCCAUGCCGCGUGUGUGAAGAAGGCCUUCGGGUUGUAAAGUACUUUCAGUCGGGAGGAAGGUGUCAAGGUUAAUAACCUUGGCAAUUGACGUUACCGACAGAAGAAGCACCGGCUAACUCCGUGCCAGCAGCCGCGGUAAUACGGAGGGUGCAAGCGUUAAUCGGAAUUACUGGGCGUAAAGCGCACGCAGGCGGUUGAUUGAGUCAGAUGUGAAAUCCCCGGGCUUAACCCGGGAACUGCAUCUGAUACUGGCAAGCUUGAGUCUCGUAGAGGGGGGUAGAAUUCCAGGUGUAGCGGUGAAAUGCGUAGAGAUCUGGAGGAAUACCGGUGGCGAAGGCGGCCCCCUGGACGAAGACUGACGCUCAGGUGCGAAAGCGUGGGGAGCAAACAGG